rnacentral:rRNA from 1 species
CUAUCUGUCGUGGGUGUAGAAGAGUUGAGGAGCUUUGUUCUUAGUACGAGAGGAUUAGAAUGAACGUACCUCUGGUGUUCCUGUUGUCGCGCUAGCGGCAGUGCAGGGUAGCUAAGUACGGAUCGGAUAAGCGCUGAAGGCAUCUAAGUGCGAAGCCGACUCCAAAACGAACUCUUCCUUGAGACACCUCAGAGACUAUGAGGUUGAUAGGCCGGAGGUGUAAGCACGGUAACGUGUUCAGCUGACCGGUACUAACCAGUCGAUCGGCUUGACCUC